AUUGAACGCUGGCGGCAUGCCUUACACAUGCAAGUCGAACGGCAGCACGGGUGCUUGCACCUGGUGGCGAGUGGCGAACGGGUGAGUAAUACAUCGGAACGUACCUUAUCGUGGGGUAUAACGCAGCGAAAGCUGUGCUAAUACCGCAUACGCCCAGAGGGGGAAAGCGGGGGAUCGCAAGACCUCGCGCGAUUAGAGCGGCCGAUGCCUGAUUAGCUUGUUGGUGGGGUAAAAGCCCACCAAGGCGACGAUCAGUAGCUGGGCUGAGAGGACGAUCAGCCACACUGGGACUGAGACACGGCCCAGACUCCUACGGGAGGCAGCAGUGGGGAAUUUUGGACAAUGGGGGCAACCCUGAUCCAGCAAUGCCGCGUGAGUGAAGAAGGCCUUCGGGUUGUAAAGCUCUUUUGUCAGGGAAGAAACACCGGCUCUAACACAGUCCGGGAAUGACGGUACCUGAAGAAUAAGCACCGGCUAACUACGUGCCAGCAGCCGCCGUAA
rnacentral:rRNA from 1 species